GUGGGGGUGGGUGGGCAGAAGCAGGAGAGAGCAGGAGAAAGGGCAGAAGGAGACUGCCUCUGAGACCUUCCAUUGUUCUCCAGGUCAAAGUAUUCAGCAUGCCACUGCACCAUAUUUUGGGGCGUCAUGGUCAUUUGUUAAGCAUCAACAAAAUAGUGCUGUAUAGCUGAGAGGAUGUGCAGAGAGAACAAUACAUUCAACGAGACCGAAAAUGGAAAAAAAAUUCACUUUUAUUACCUUAAAGAUGCCAAACAGUGCCAUUUUAUGACUGUGGGAAGCUGGAAGUCAUUUCUGAACUCUUUUGGCAAGAGUGCUAUGUAGAGCAUCCAACUCAGCCCUUUAAGUGUCUUCUGAGAACCGCCACACAGCCAGUGAUUUACCGUCUUCAGGAGUUAAAAGGACGCUUUCUGUUCUGAAACGGAAGAAAGGUGAUGCGUGUUUAGGACGCUUCCCAAUGACACUCCGGAGGACCUGAGACAGCCCGAGGAUGUCUGAGAACUGUCACGGAUAGAGAUUUAUUACAUUCAGAAGCCAGAAGACUCAUCUUUCCAAGAAUAUUAAAAUGGUUUGCACAAGACAGAAAGGACACUAGGAAUUCCUUUAGAUGCUUGAGUCCAAGUUCCAUUUUGCUACCUUUCCACUGGAAGACCUUCAGCCAGUUGCUCAAUGCCUCUGGUAUGGUUCCUCAAUGCACACGGGGCUGCCGGUAGCUCCCUUAAGGUGCUGCUGCGGGAAUUCAGUGAGAUGGCCUAGGUGCGACUGCACCCCCCUAAGGUUUGUCUUGUCAUGCAAUAAAACCUUC
ensembl:lncRNA